rnacentral:rRNA from 1 species
AGAGUUUGAUCUUGGCUCAGAUUGAACGCUGGCGGCGUGCCUAACACAUGCAAGUCGAGCGGUAACAGGUGUAGCAAUACAUGCUGACGAGCGGCGAACGGGUGAGUAUGCUUCGGAAUCUUCCCAGUAGUGGGGAAAAACUAGCCGAAAGGUUAGCUAAUACCGCAUACGUCCUACGGGAGAAAGCAGGGGAUCGCAAGACCUUGCGCUAUUGGAUGAGCCGAAGUCGGAUUAGCUAGUUGGUGAGGUAACGGCUCACCAAGGCGACAAUCCGUAGCUGGUCUGAGAGGACGACCAGCCACACUGGGACUGAGACACGGCCCAGACUCCUACGGGAGGCAGCAGUGGGGAAUAUUGGACAAUGGGGGAAACCCUGAUCCAGCGACGCCGCGUGUGUGAAGAAGGCCUGCGGGUUGUAAAGCACUUUUAGUGGGGAUGAAAAGCCAAAGGCUAAUACCUUUUGGUCUUGACCUAACCCACAGAAAAAGCACCGGCUAACUCUGUGCCAGCAGCCGCGGUAAUACAGAGGGUGCAAGCGUUAAUCGGAAUUACUGGGCGUAAAGCGUGCGUAGACGGUUAUGUAAGUCAGAUGUGAAAGCCCCGGGCUCAACCUGGGGAUUGCAUUUGAGACUGCAUAGCUAGGGUGCGGAAGAGGGAAGCGGAAUUUCCGGUGUAGCGGUGAAAUGCGUAGAUAUCGGAAGGGACACCAGUGGCGAAAGCGGCUUCCUGGUCCAGCACCGACGUUCAGGCACGAAAGCGUGGGGAGCAAACAGGAUUAGAUACCCUGGUAGUCCACGCCAUAAACGAUGAGGACUAGACGUUGAGAGGGUAAGCCUCCCAGUGUCGCAGCUAACGCGAUAAGUCCUCCGCCUGGGGAGUACGGCCGCAAGGUGAAACUCAAAGAAUUGACGGA